GACGAACGCUGGCGGCGUGCCUAAUACAUGCAAGUAGAACGCUGAGGACUGGUGCUUGCACUGGUCUAAGGAGUUGCGAACGGGUGAGUAACGCGUAGGUAACCUACCUCAUAGAGGGGGACAACAGCUGGAAACGGCUGCUAAUACCGCAUAACGCAAGAGGGAGGCAUCUUCUUCUUGCCAAAGAUUUAUCGCUGAAGGAUGAGCUCACGUCUGAUUAGAUAGUUGGUGGGGUAACGGCCUACCAAGUCGACGAUCAGUAGCCGGACUGAGAGGUUGAUCGGCCACAUUGGGACUGAGAUACGGCCCAG
rnacentral:rRNA from 1 species